CCUGUAAGAGGUCACGGUCAAGGGGUGUGAGACAGAAACUGCCAUGGGAGCAGCAUACUCUUGGACAGUAUCUCAGUACUCAGAUUUGCCUCUGGGGUUUUUUUGCAGGAGACGUACGCAACCUCACAGGGCUGAAGCCAGCUCUCAAUGAGGUGACGAACACGGUUUGGUCCUCUCGAGCUGUCCUUGUAGGUAAUCUCCGAGUAUUAAAAAGAUCAGCAGUGAAGCAUUGAGCUUUUUUGAUUGCAGGUGCCAUCUGGGUAACCUUUGGGAGCAGAUGAGCAUUGGAGGUGAGUCAGGGAGGCAGCAGGAGGAGCGGGGAUCCACUGCAGCUUUAGAGUUGCCCUCUAAUUUUGUCUCUCGCUCACUCAGGUAUCCCAGAAGAUGACAUCACAUUGUCCUACUCUGGUCAGAGCCAGCGACCCGAGGAGCUGCUUCGGUGAGAGUGAGUAGAGGGAUCAUGGGGGCUGGGGCCAUGUGCCACACUACUCAGAUAUGGUGUCUGGUUUUCUUUCUCGCAGUGGACUCCUAGUAGUCUGACGAUGGCAGGAACCUCUGAACCAGCCCAGGUGCCCCUCCUGUGCAUCAAAGAUGGAUUGACAUCCCCGGCUCUCGGAAAGUUAAGUGCAGGGCAAAGACCCAGAGAGGAGUUGGGAGUCGGGGCAAGUAUGUGCCUCGCCUGGAGGGAUUUUUGAAAUUAGUACAGUGCAAGGGGUAUUAUCCUGGAACAGGUUAUUAGGACGCGUCAAAGGAAGGGCUUACUUUUUAUCAUGGGAUUCACGUGUGCAGGGCAGAGCAGUUCGAGUCUGUGUCACGUCCUUUGUCUCGUCCGUGUUUUGUGUCACGUGGUGUGUGUGGUCACAGGUCCGGGAUGUCUCACUUGGGGUCAGCCUGGAACUGCUCUGCCCUGCUCCUUGGAUCAGUGGGUAGAUGGGAUCUGGCUCCGAGUGUCAGGUCAACCUGUCAGUUCCCUCAGACAGACGUGCCACUGGCCGUACAGUCUGUGAGCAGGAUGGUCUUCUGAUGCCCUGCUUGGGUGUAUAGAGUCCUGGCUAGGUAGAGUAGGAAACAGUGUCUAGGGUUUAGAGGUUUUUGGCUUUCCUUGUGAGCGAUCCCUAAAUGUUUGAGAGCUGAGUGUUUGAGCAUUUGCCCAUUUCAUUUGCAGGGGCGGUCUUGGGAGCAGCUGAAGAGAGAGGAGCCUUGUAGGUAUCCCGGAAGGUAAGAGCCCCAGUGUCCGACUCCGGUCAGGGCCUCGGUGCUGUUGACUUGGAGUAACCUCGUGAUCGCAGGAACCACCUCACGAUGGGGCAACUGACCCAGAUUGGUCGUCUUGACCUGUCCUCAUCUGAAAUCUCCGAGUAUUAAAAUGAUUAGCAACGAGGCACUGAGCCUUAGUGAUGGCAGGUGCCAUCCGGGUAACUUUUGGGAGUGGCCGGGUAUUGGAGAUGAGUCGGGUAGGCAGCAUGAGAAGCGGGGAUGCACUGCAGCUUUAGAAAUGCCCACUAAUUUUGUCUUUCUUAUAUUUCUCUUAGGCUCUUCUCCUGAUUUUUAUUCUCUUAGUCUCUUCCCCUGAUUUUUAUUCUCUUAGUCUCUUCUCCUGAUUUUAUUUUACUUAGGCUCUUCUGAUUUUAUAUCACUUAGGCUCUUCUCCAACUUCUAUUUCUCUUAGCCUCUUCUCCUGAUUUUAAUUUUUUAGGCUC